CCAAGUGCUCUAACGCAAUCUUCCUAGCGCUUCGUCGCAGCACAAAGAGUACACGAAGCGUAAGAGAUUGGUGGCAACAAAAAAAAUCCGUCGAUAAGAACGGAAAAGGGCUCCAUCCAUCCAUCGUUGGCCUGACCCGUGCGAGAGGCCUAACGGUGGCAUGGCCUCCCUUUUUUUUCACUUCCAACUAGAACGAUCGCUGUCCAGUUCGAACCGGACCGAUCCAGAGUGUCGGCCUGAGGCACACACAUCACACCAUUCUGUGAUAACCGGUCGGACAGGGGAUCGGAUCGGGGUUGCGCUCCUCAUCCGGUGUGUUUAUGGUGAAAAGGUUACGUACUGGCCCGGCCGCACCACUAUCAUCAAUUGUUGUACACACGCGUUCUGAGCCGAUCGUGGCUCAUAAAAACCAGACUAGUAAACAAGUUGACUCUGGUUUGGAUUGCCCUCUGCGGCUCCCCUGCUCCCCGGCGGUAAUCCAGCAGAGAUUAUGCAACUCGAGUGUGUAACCGCAACGUGCACUAUUAGAUUCCGCUUCCAAAGUACAAUCGGAAACUGGAUUGGUGUGCAAUCCACGGGUACACACGCGCGCAGCCUUUAGCCGGCAAGAUCGAACCAGUUCAUCUCUAAUCUUCCUCGCUCAAAAACCUACCGAAGGACGACGCCGGGUCAGGAUCGUGCUAGCGCAUACUCGUGACUGCUGAUGGCGGGCGGCACUGUGGUGCCGAUCGGCUGCGGACGAUGCGCUGUUGACAGUGGCGGACACGUGGCGUACGUGAUGAUGGUCGGUCAGUUUCCCGCCAUCGGCAGCGAGCGCAGCGUGUCUAGUGGACGCGGCCGCAUGGAUGAACGACGAGGACGAGCUUUGCAGGCGCGUUUUUACCACCUCCAACGGACAUGUCACUACGGCGCCAGCAGUACCAGCGAUACUGGAAAAGGAAAGAAGUGAAAAAUAAAUAAAACAUUAGAAAUGUUAGUUUAAUAAAGAGCUAGAGCGCAUGUUUCGACAGUCUUAAAA